AUGGUGGUUAACAUUGUUAAUGCUUCUUGUAAAAGACAUGAUCAAUUGGCCCAAGAGCAACAUGAUGAAAUAGUGCGUCAAAUAGAGGCUGGGGAACUUCUUGUGGGAAAAGGAAAAAACCAAUUAACAAACCUUGCUAGACCCGGUGAUACACGGUGGGGAUCACAUCAUAAAACCUUGUGUCGUCUUGUUCAGAUGUGGAAACCAGUUCUAAAGGUAUUAGAAAAUCUACACAAUGAUGCAGAUAAUGUUGCACAAAGAACCACAGCCGCAGGAUUGAUAAAGCAAAUGGAGUCCUUUGAAUUUGUUCUCAUAUUGCAUCUUAUGAUUACAUUAUUGGGCAAGACUAACAAUCUGUCACAAUGCUUGCAACUGAAAAAUCAGAAUAUUGUACGUGCUGUUGGAUUGAUUAAAACCACAUUAGAUGAUAUUCAAAAUAUAAGGCAGAAUGGUUGGGGUGAGCUCUUUAAAGAGGUAACAGACUUUUGUGUCAAGUACAACAUUGUAGUGCCAAAUAUGGAAGAUACUAGAACUGCUAAUGGGCGUUCAAGGACUUGGGGUAGGCAGUUGGUAACUUACAACCAUCAUUUCAGAAAUGAAAUAUUCAAUGUGUUGCAUGAUCAACUUAUUGUGGAGUUAAACAACCGCUUUGCUGAAAGGUCUACUCAAUUGUUGAGAUGCAUUGCUUGUCUUGAUCCCAAGAAUUCAUUUGCCAAUUAUAAUGAAGACAAGCUAGUAGACCUUGCUAAUAUGUAUGCUGCUGACUUCUCUACAUAUGAAGUUACUUUUGUCCUUAGAAACCAACUAGACUCAUUCAUUCAGGAAGCAAGAGUUGAUACACAUUUGAUGAAUUGCAAUGACCUUGGUCAUCUUGCCAUAAAUAUGGUUACAAGUAAUAUGCACACAACUUUUCCCUUGGUUUACCGUCUUGUUGAGUUAGCAUUGAUUUUACCUGUUGCAACCGCAACAGUGGAAAGUGCAUUUUCAGCAAUGAGCAUUAUCAAGACUGGAUUGAGGAAAAAAAUGGGUGAUGAUUGGAUGAAUCAUAGAAUGGUAUGUUACAUUGAGCGGGAUGUAUUUGUGAGUAUUGGAGAAUCAAAGAUCAUUGAGCGAUUUCAAGGUUAUCGCAGUCGCAAAUGCCUUUUGCCUCGUCCUGGACGUUUAGCUUCUUCGACUAUUGAAGAUGUUGUUAUGGGAGGGUCAGAUCAACCAAUCCUUUGA
rnacentral:rRNA from 1 species